rnacentral:rRNA from 1 species
UCUCCGAAAUAGCUUUAGGGCUAGCCUCAAGUGAUGAUUAUUGGAGGUAGAGCACUGUUUGGACGAGGGGCCCCUCUCGGGUUACCGAAUUCAGACAAACUCCGAAUGCCAAUUAAUUUAACUUGGGAGUCAGAACAUGGGUGAUAAGGUCCGUGUUCGAAAGGGAAACAGCCCAGACCACCAGCUAAGGUCCCAAAAUAUAUGUUAAGUGGAAAAGGAUGUGGCGUUGCCCAGACAACUAGGAUGUUGGCUUAGAAGCAGCCAUCAUUUAAAGAGUGCGUAAUAGCUCACUAGUCGAGUGACACUGCGCCGAAAAUGUACCGGGGCUAAACAUAUUACCGAAGCUGUGGAUUGUCCUUUGGACAAUGGUAGGAGAGCGUUCUAAGGGCGUUGAAGCAUGAUCGUAAGGACAUGUGGAGCGCUUAGAAGUGAGAAUGCCGGUGUGAGUAGCGAAAGACGGGUGAGAAUCCCGUCCACCGAUUGACUAAGGUUUCCAGAGGAAGGCUCGUCCGCUCUGGGUUAGUCGGGUCCUAAGCUGAGGCCGACAGGCGUAGGCGAUGGAUAACAGGUUGAUAUUCCUGUACCACCUAUAAUCGUUUUAAUCGAUGGGGGGACGCAGUAGGAUAGGCGAAGCGUGCGAUUGGAUUGCACGUCUAAGCAGUAAGGCUGAGUAUUAGGCAAAUCCGGUACUCGUUAAGGCUGAGC